GAUGAAGAACGUAGCGAAAUGCGAUAAGUAAUGUGAAUUGCAGAAUUCAGUGAAUCAUCGAAUCUUUGAACGCACAUUGCGCCCCUUGGUAUUCCGAGGGACAUGCCUGUUCGAGCGUCAUAUUAACCACUCCCGCUUGCGGGGUCUUGGGCUUCGCCUCCGGGCGGGCCUUAAAAUCAGUGGCGGUGCCGUCGGGCUCUACGCGUAGUAAAUUUUCUCGCGAUAGGGUCCCGGUGGAUGCUUGCCAACAACCCCCAACUUCUUAAGGUUGACCUCGGAUCAGGUAGGGAUACCCGCUGAACUUAAGCAUAUCAAUAAGCGGAGGA
rnacentral:misc_RNA from 1 species